rnacentral:rRNA from 1 species
AGUGAACGCUGGCGGUAGGCCUAACACAUGCAAGUCGAACGGCAGCACAGUAAGAGCUUGCUCUUACGGGUGGCGAGUGGCGGACGGGUGAGGAAUACAUCGGAAUCUACUUUUUCGUGGGGGAUAACGUAGGGAAACUUACGCUAAUACCGCAUACGACCUACGGGUGAAAGCAGGGGAUCUUCGGACCUUGCGCGAUUGAAUGAGCCGAUGUCGGAUUAGCUAGUUGGCGGGGUAACGGCCCACCAAGGCGACGAUCCGUAGCUGGUCUGAGAGGAUGAUCAGCCACACUGGAACUGAGACACGGUCCAGACUCCUACGGGAGGCAGCAGCGGGGAAUAUUGGACAAUGGGCGCAAGCCUGAUCCAGCCAUACCGCGUGGGUGAAGAAGGCCUUCGGGUUGUAAAGCCCUUUUGUUGGGAAAGAAAAGCAGCAGGUUAAUACCCCGCUGUUCUGACGGUACCCAAAGAAUAAGCACCGGCUAACUUCGUG